rnacentral:rRNA from 1 species
UACGUAGGGUGCAAGCGUUAAUCGGAAUUACUGGGCGUAAAGCGUGCGCAGGCGGUUUUGUAAGUCUGACGUGAAAUCCCCGGGCUCAACCUGGGAAUUGCAUUGGAGACUGCAAGGCUAGAAUCUGGCAGAGGGGGGUAGAAUUCCACGUGUAGCAGUGAAAUGCGUAGAGAUGUGGAGGAACACCGAUGGCGACGGCAGCCCCCUGGGUCAAGAUUGACGCUCAUGCACGAAAGCGUGGGGAGCAAACAGG